CAUCACAGCUUCUUAGAAGAAGGUCCUGAGCUUUGGAAAACUCUGAGAAUUUUCAGUUCUGUUGAUCUUAGUUAAUGUCGUCCUCCAGAUCCUGUCCUUGCCUAAGAGGCUUGCAGCACAUUCCAGAGCACAUCUGAAUCCCAGAAUUCACUAUAAUUGGCAAGAAAAGGAGAAUGUACUGGAAGUACCAUACCUGUACAAGCAGAGAGUUUCUCUGGUUCAAGAGGUGCCAGCAUUGGAGAAUUCACUCUAGGAAAGAUUUUCAUUGGAUAAAUUGGAUUUGGAAACAGGCUAUUAUGAUUAAAUAAUGAAUAAAUAUUUGCUCCUACUUACUCAGAUGCAUUAAUGUGUAAUCUGGGUUUAUUUAAUUCAUUCAUGUCAGAAAAUUGAUUAAUGGUAUUUUAGCUACUUUUGGAUGCCUGUGAAUGUAAAUUUUUUUCCCUUAUGAACUCUAAAUACAGUGGAACAUAAUUUUUCAUAUGAUUUCAAUGGAACUAACAUUUACACCUCAAUAGCUUUGCAACAUUGCAAUAUUUAAUUAAAUGACACGUGGAGUUACAUGCAUUGUCUAUAAAAGCUGAACGUAAACUAAUAACAGAAAGCUACUGGCCCAGUGGAUGCAUUUUCAUGUCUGAGUACAUAAAAUGAUCACAACUUUGCCACAAUGCAUAUUAUGCUACUUGACUCAGACUCCCAGGCCUAAAAGGAUUAAAUUUGUCUCUUUUUUUUAUAGUACUUAUAGUACAUAAAGAAAAGUUCUUUUUAAGUGCUGUAGCUAGCCAUAGUUCCCUGAUUCUAAACCUAGUUUUGAAACCAG